rnacentral:tRNA from 1 species
GCCGGCGUUGGCGUAACUCGGUAACGCCGCCUGUCUGAAACACACAGGUGUCUGAAAAGACAUCCGGGUUCAAAUCCCUGCGCCGGCG